UCUGCAGCCUGAAUCGAUUCCUUUGU
rnacentral:piRNA from 1 species